rnacentral:rRNA from 1 species
AGCUAGUUGGUGGGGUAAAAGCUCACCAAGGCGACGAUCUGUAGCGGGUCUGAGAGGAUGAUCCGCCACACUGGAACUGAGACACGGUCCAGACUCCUACGGGAGGCAGCAGUGGGGAAUUUUGGACAAUGGGGGCAACCCUGAUCCAGCCAUGCCGCGUGAGUGAAGAAGGCCUUCGGGUUGUAAAGCUCUUUCAGCCGGGAAGAAAACGCAUAGGCUAAUACCCUGUGUGAAUGACGGUACCGGAAUAAGAAGCACCGGCUAACUACGUGCCAGCAGCCGCGGUAAUACGUAGGGUGCGAGCGUUAAUCGGAAUUACUGGGCGUAUAGCGUGCGCAGGCGGUUUUGUAAGACAGGCGUGAAAUCCCCGGGCUUAACCUGGGAACUGCGUUUGUGACUGCAAGGCUAGAGUACGGCAGAGGGGGGUGGAAUUCCACGUGUAGCAGUGAAAUGCGUAGAGAUGUGGAGGAACACCAAUGGCGAAGGCAGCCCCCUGGGUCGAUACUGACGCUCAUGCACGAAAGCGUGGGUAGCAAACAGGAUUAGAUACCCUGGUAGUCCACGCCCUAAACGAUGUCAACUAGGUGUUGGGAGGGUAAAACCUUUUAGUACCGGAGCUAACGCGUGAAGUUGACCGCCUGGGGAGUACGGCCGCAAGGUUAAAACUCAAAGGAAUUGACGGGGACCCGCACAAGCGGUGGAUGAUGUGGAUUAAUUCGAUGCAACGCGAAAAACCUUACCUACCCUUGACAUGUCAGGAACUUUCCAGAGAUGGAUUGGUGCUCGAAAGAGAACCUGAACACAGGUGCUGCAUGGCUGUCGUCAGCUCGUGUCGUGAGAUGUUGGGUUAAGUCCCGCAACGAGCGCAACCCUUGUCGUUAAUUGCCAUCAUUUAGUUGGGCACUUUAGCGAGACUGCCGGUGACAAACCGGAGGAAGGUGGGGAUGACGUCAAGUCCUCAUGGCCCCUAUGGGUAGGGCUUCACACGUCAUACAAUGGUCGGUACAAAGGGUUGCCAACCCGCGAGGGGGAGCUAAUCCCAUAAAGCCGAUCGUAGUCCGGAUUGCAGGCUGCAACUCGCCUGCAUGAAGUCGGAAUCGCUAGUAAUCGUGGAUCAGCAUGUCACGGUGAAUACGUUCCCGGGUCUUGUACACACCGCCCGUCACACCAUGGGAGCGGGUUCCGCCAGAAGUAGGUAGCCUAACCGCAAGGGGGGCGCUUACCACGGCGGGGUUCGUGACUGGGGUGAAGUCGAAACAAGGUAGCCGUGGGGGGACCUGCGGCUG